rnacentral:rRNA from 1 species
ACAGAUCGUUCAGAGUUUGAUCCUGGCUCAGGAUGAACGCUAGCGAUAGGCCUAACACAUGCAAGUCGAGGGGCUGCACAUGAAGUAGCAAUACUGAUGGUGGCGACCGGCGCACGGGUGAGUAACACGUAUGCAACCUACCUUCAACUGGGGAAUAACCCGUCGAAAGACGGACUAAUACCCCAUAACACAGGGCUCCCGCAUGGGAAUAUUUGUUAAAGAUUAAUCGGUUGUAGAUGGGCAUGCGUUCCAUUAGCUAGUUGGUCGAGGUAACGGCUCACCAAGGCAACGAUGGAUAGGGGAACUGAGAGGUUUAUCCCCCACACUGGUACUGAGACACGGACCAG